CCUACGGGAGGCAGCAGUGGGGAAUUUUGGACAAUGGGCGCAAGCCUGAUCCAGCAAUGCCGCGUGCAGGAUGAAGGCCUUCGGGUUGUAAACUGCUUUUGUACGGAACGAAACGGCCCUUUCUAAUACAAGGGGCUAAUGACGGUACCGUAAGAAUAAGCACCGGCUAACUACGUGCCAGCAGCCGCGGUAAUACGUAGGGUACGAGCGUUAAUCGGAAUUACUGGGCGUAAAGCGUGCGCAGGCGGUUAUAUAAGACAGAUGUGAAAUCCCCGGGCUCAACCUGGGACCUGCAUUUGUGACUGUAUAGCUAGAGUACGGUAGAGGGGGUAUGGAAUUCCGCGUGUAGCAGUGAAACUGCGUAGAUAUGCGGAGGAACACCGGAUGGCGAAGGCAAUCCCCUGGACCUGUACUGACGCUCAUGCACGAAAGCGUGGGGAGCAAACAGGAUUAGAUACCCUGGUAGUCCAGCCCUAAACGAUGUCAACUGGUUNUUGGGUCUUCAACUGACUCAGUAACCGAAGCUAACGCGUGAAGUUGACCGCCUGGGGAGGACGGCGCGAGUAGAACGACGAAGAGAGUAGAGNGNGAGAGAGCGAGACGACGACGAGGAGGAGG
rnacentral:rRNA from 1 species